UACGGGGGGUGCGAGCGUUGUCCGGAAUCACUGGGCGUAAAGGGUGCGUAGGCGGUCGGGUAAGUCUGAUGUGAAAUCUCACAGCUUAACUGUGAAACUGCAUUGGAUACUAUCCGGCUAGAGGAAUGGAGGGGAGACUGGAAUACUUGGUGUAGCAGUGAAAUGCGUAGAUAUCAAGUGGAACACCAGUGGCGAAGGCGAGUCUCUGGACAUGUCCUGACGCUGAGGAGCGAAAGUGUGGGGAGCGAACAGG
rnacentral:rRNA from 1 species